UUGAGGUCCUCUUUUGAAUUGUGUAGCUGUGCAUGUUGUGAAUAGGUUUGCAGUUGAGCUUUGUUUGUAUUUGCAGAUGCAUGCAGAUCUGGUAUCGUGUCGUGUCAUUCUGUGGAGGGUUGUGACUACAUCUGUUUGACUGUCACUGCAUUGCUGUAUAGAUGUCGAUGUAUGGGAACGAAGGCCCAUGUACAAAGGAAAAGGCGAUCGGGAGUGGCUGUCAAAGUUAAGUAUCUGCUGGAGGAUUUGAUGGUCAAAAAGUAUGUGUGCUGUUGAGGCUGUAGGGAUGGGAGUCCUCCGAAGCCUGCCUGUUUGUAAUGGGUUCAUGAGGCAGCUCAUUGAAUGGGAGUGGGAGUUUUCUUUGGAGGAAGUUGACUGAUGGAAGAGUGACCUGUCUGUAACUAGAGAUGCUCCAUUCUCCCUUCUUCUCUCAUAAAUGGCACUGGGUUUGCAUCACUGAUCACCACUAUCCUGUUUGUCUGUCCUCUAUUGGGUGUUGGUUUUCUGAGGAGGAUGUGAGCAUCCUAGUUACCGAUGGGCCCCUGUCAGUGUUGGGAAAGGGCCAUGAGUACUGUGUAAAUGUGAGUAUUUUUCAUGUUGAUUUUAAAUGUAUAGAAGUAGUUGGUUGCUGCUUCAUUGUAGGUAGGAAUGUGCUGGGGCUCUUUCAGGGUGUCAAAUAGGUUAGUUUAGCAAAGGGAGUGUGGUAUUGUGGUGGUGUGAGCAUUAGCAAUAAUCUGGUGUUUAUUGUUUGUGUGCCACAGGGGUAUUUGAGUCCAGAACUGAGGGAAUGGGCUGUAGCAAGUGUGCCCCGUUUGGUUUACAUGGGUUCUUGUAAAUAUGGUGCCAGUGGGCACAGAGGAGCUGUUUGCAUCCAUGAGAUCCUUAAGAGGCUUCAAGAGGUGCAGUUUGUGAAAGAAGGAUAGAUGUGAAGCCCCAUCUGGUGGAAAAAGAGUUAUGUGUGAAGAUGGGUGUCCAGUUGGGCAAAGAACAAGUGAAGUAGAAGUAUGCCUGUGGGGGACAUGAAGUACUUAUUCCCAAAAUGGAAGUGGAUUUGAUGUCAAGUUUGCAAGUUAAGAAUCACUUUCCGACCACAGAGAUGGAAAUAAUCAGCGUCAUUGGAGAAGACUUCAGUGUGCGUCGUUUGGAGCAAUUGGGCUUUGAUAAUGUAUUAUUUGGGUCAAGAUGUGAAGCCUUGUCUGUUUGAUGGCUAGAAUGUAGUAGAGCAGUGGGGCUGAUGUCACUGUGUUCUGGUAGAUACCUGAGCAAUUAUAUCAUGAAAUGGCAUCCGUGUCAUUUCUGUUAUUUGAAUUGGAGAGGGUGGGUUCAUUUGAUUGGUCAGUUAUGUGGUGAUGUUCCUGUAAGUACUUGCACAAAAUGUAAUUGUUUUCUGAAAGGAGUGGUUUGUUUGCCACUUGGAAUGUUCUAGCCAUCAAAGUUGCAAGAGGACACAGUUGAGGGUUGUAUCAUCUAUUGGGGCAUCCCGAAGUGUUUGUGAACUGUGUUCAUAAUGAUGUGUAUGCUGUAUUUGUUAAGUUGUAAUGUAUAGUUUUCGUUGUGAUUGGAUGACUCCCUUUGUCAUCCACGUUGUAGCGUGCUAAAUCAAUGCAGUGAUUUUUGAAACCAUGGUACAGUGCAGUCAAACAGCCGGAAGGCUGACGUUAUAACAAAUUUGUCAGCCUUUUGGCUGUUUCGCUGCACUGUACCAUGGUUGGGACUGUCCCGGACAGUCUUUGACUUAACAUUUUGUACAUGGAGGUGCUGUAGAGGGAGCAUGCUGGCCAGCUGCUAGGGGAGGUAUAGUCAGGUCCCAUUCCUGCCUCUCACAAUAGAUGCAUGGUUUUGGACAUGCGAUGGGGAUGUGUAGAAGGAUAUGGAGGUGAAAUGCCAGGGUUGCUUAUGUUAAUGUUUGUUGUACGGUGGUUUAUUUAUGUAACACAAACCUUUAUUACUGAAUGUGUGUGCAGUCCUGUACAG